UGGAAGCAGUCUGAUGACACCUCCCAUGUGU
rnacentral:piRNA from 1 species